AAUCCUACUUAUCAACCCGCCAGACUAUUACGAGUAAAAGCUUAAAACUCAAAGGACUUGACGGUGUCCCACAUCCAACCUAGAGGAGCCUGUCCUAUAAUCGAUAAUCCACGAUAGACCCCACCACCUUUUGCCCAACAGCCUAUAUACCGCCGUCGCCAGCCCACCUUCUGAAGGAAAAAAAGUGGACAAAAUAGCCAAUCGCUAGGACGUCAGGUCAAGGUGUAGUUAAUAAGGUGGCCAGAGAUGGGCUACAUUUCCUUUUUUAGGAUAUAAACGAACGGUUUAAUGAAAACAAACCAGAAGGAGGAUUUAGUAGUAAAACGGGAUCAGAAAGCCUGUUUGAACACAAUGCCCUGGGACGCGUACACACCGCCCGUCACCCUCA
rnacentral:rRNA from 1 species